rnacentral:lncRNA from 1 species
GCCAUUCAGAAAGGCAAUAAGCAAGCUCUAAGAAUACGUGCUGAAAAUACAAUCCACCAGAAAAAGCAAGCAAUUGAUUUCUUAAGAGUGAGUGCUAGAGUUGAUGCUGUGGCAGCCAGAGUUCAAAAUGCAGUAACAAUGGGCAGGACUUCUGCCUUGAUGAACAAAUUCGAACACCAGUUUGAAAUAUUGGAUAUUCAAACACAACAAAUGGAAGAUAAAAUGAGUAACUCUACAACCCUAACAACACCACAAAACCAAAUGGAUAUGCUGCUUCAGGAAAUGCCAGAUGAAGCUAGGUAAGAAGUUAUCCAGGUGAUUGUGGAAAAUCUUGAUUUAGUAUCUAGAGGUUCUAAAAUGCUGUGAUAUAGAUGAAAAUAUUUCUCUUUUCCACGAAUUGCCAGAGUUAGGUUUGUGACCCUAGAAUUUAGUGUUUCAAGGGACUUUAAACAGUCAUCUAAUUCCUUGCCAUGCUCAUAAAAAUUUGACUGUGUUUCAAUCAUCUUAGUAUUUUCUUAAAAAUUUCUGGAAAUAGACUCAUUUAGUGUGUGUAAAGAAAUAGGCAAAGGUGAUCAAAGGAAGCAGGAAUGUUUAAACAAUUACCUAAUACCUACUGUUCGCUGCAUAUAUGAAAUAUAUGGUGUGUUUUGUUUUUUGUUUUUUUUAAAAAAAGGACCUUCCAAAAUAAUUCUGCUGUGAUUAGGCCAUUGAGUCAUAAGUCUAGUUUGAGUACUGCAAACUGAGCAAUAUGUGCAAAAUGUGCAAGGGGCUCAAAAGACAGCAGUAUUACACAUAAUGAUUUGGUUGUUUCUUUUAAGUAAAUAGUUCAUACCCUUUUGUGAUAUUGUUAUUGGAAAUAGGGUGUAUAAUACAAGCUGUUUAUUUCAGGCCCUUCAUGUCAUGGGAGAAUGACUUAUCUAUGACAUCUUUGCUAUAGAGGUCAUGUUGUAUCAUUAUUCUCUGGUGUAAUGUUUGCUUCAAGAUAAUGUAGUAGUAAAAAA